rnacentral:rRNA from 1 species
GUGAGGAAUUUUCCGCAAUGGGCGAAAGCCUGACGGAGCAAUGCCGCGUGAAGGAUGAAGGCCUAUGGGUUGUAAACUUCUUUUCUCAGAAAAGAAUUAUGACGGUAUCUGAGGAAUAAGCAUCGGCUAACUCUGUGCCAGCAGCCGCGGUAAGACAGAGGAUGCAAGCGUUAUCCGGAAUGAUUGGGCGUAAAGCGUCUGUAGGUUGUUUAAAAAGUAUUCUGUCAAAGAUUAGGGCUUAACCCUAGAUAGGCAGAAUAAACUUUUAAGCUAGAGUUUGGUAGAGGCAGAGGGAAUUCCUGGUGGAGCGGUGAAAUGCGUAGAUAUCGGGAGGAACACCAAAGGCGAAGGCACUCUGCUGGGCCAAUACUAACACUGAGAGACGAAAGCGAGGGGAGCAAAUGGGAUUAGAUACCCUGGUAGUCC